rnacentral:rRNA from 1 species
CAGCAGCCACGGUAAUACGUAGGUCCCGAGCGUUGUCCGGAUUUAUUGGGCGUGAAGGGAGCGCAGGCGGUUUAGUAAGUCUGAAGUUAAAGGCAUUGGCUCAACCAAUGUAUGCUUUGGAAACUGUUAGACUUGAGUGCAGAAGGGGAGAGUGGAAUUCCAUGUGUAGCGGUGAAAUGCGUAGAGAUGUGGAGGAACACCAGUGGCGAAGGCGACUCUCUGGUCUGUAACUGACGCUGAGGAGCGAAAGCGUGGGGAGCGAACAGGAUUAGAUACCCCAGUAGUCCCUGUCUCUUAUACA